AUGAAGGCCCUAUUUAGGGCCAUAAACCAUUUUAUAUAAAUUCUUUU
rfam:Schistosoma rodhaini strain Burundi genome assembly, scaffold: SROB_scaffold0002382